CUAUGUAAUAUUCUUUGUUGACUCCAGCUCCAGCAGCAUUUUUGCAAAAUUUUCACACCCGAACACCUUCAUUUGGUUUCAGAUUUCAGCAGCUAUUAAUCUUCAUUUCAUUCCCAUUCCACACUGCACUGCUCUUCAUUCGGUGCUCUGCCAAGUAUCCUCAAGCCAUUCCAGUAACACCUUAACACUUGAAGAAGUGAGAGAGAGAUCGUUUAUUCAUUACUCUGCCAAACUGCCAGAUUAUCUCAGUUCAUUCAACAACCAACACAAACAUUCAAGGUAUUGAUUCUAUCUCAAAUAUCCAUUCCAGUAAAGCAUUCAUACCAAAGCAUGAUCAGUUUCACAAUGAUAGAAAACCAUUGUAGGCAUAAUGAACUUAGCAAAGUUACACUCUUUAUAUUGCAAACACCAAUAACUCUUAUGCAAAGCAAGAACAGGCUGCACUCUUUCACCACUAGGAAAAUAAGAAUACAGAAAACCAAGUUUUCAUUCCAAAAUCAAGUCUUUAUACAAAGUUGAGUUUUCUGAAAAUUAAUUCUAAUAUACGAACCUACCGAGUGAUAAAAUGAGAGGGAAGAUACGGUGGAAAGUCGAAGCCCUGCUGUCCAUGGCGACGGCGGCACCAGGAGAGGCGGCUGCCGAAUUCUUGCUGCCAACGGCAGCGGCUGACGGCGGCGCUCCUCCAGCGAGCUGCUGGCCGUCGAUCGCAGGCCAGCCAGCGGCGACUCCGGGCGAACAGCAGCAGCUCCAGGCGGCGACAGCGGACUCCGG
rnacentral:lncRNA from 1 species